rnacentral:rRNA from 1 species
AACAGGAUUAGAUACCCUGGUAGUCCACGCCGUAAACGAUGAGUGCUAGGUGUUGGGGGGUUCCCCCUCAGUGCCGAAGGUAACCCAUUAAGCACUCCGCCUGGGGAGUACGGCCGCAAGGCUGAAACUCAAAGGAAUUGACGGGGGCCCGCACAAGCGGUGGAGCAUGUGGUUUAGUUCGAAGCAACGCGAAGAACCUUACCAGGGCUUGACAUCCCGCUGACCGCUCCAGAGAUGGGGCUUCCCUUCGGGGCAGCGGUGACAGGUGGUGCAUGGUUGUCGUCAGCUCGUGUCGUGAGAUGUUGGGUUCAGUCCCGCAACGAGCGCAACCCUUAUCGCCAGUUGCCAGCAUUUCGGAUGGGCACUCUGGCGAGACAGCCGGUGAAAGCCGGAGGAAGGUGGGGAUGACGUCAAAUCAUCAUGCCCCUUAUGUCCUGGGCUACACACGUGCUACAAUGGCCAGUACAAAGGGAAGCGAACCCGCGAGGGGGAGCCAAUCCCAAAAAACUGGUCUCAGUUCGGAUCGCAGGCUGCAACUCGCCUGCGUGAAGCCGGAAUUGCUAGUAAUCGCGGAUCAGCAUGCCGCGGUGAAUACGUUCCCGGGCCUUGUACACACCGCCCGUCACACCACGAGAGUUUGCAACACCCGAAGUCGGUGAGGCAACCCUUCUGGGAGCCAGCCGCCGAAGGUGGGGCAGAUGAUUGGGGUGAAGUCGUAACAAGGUAACC